GUGCUACUGUAUAGGCCCAGUCAGAGCCCAGACUGGACUCCGAUUGAAUAUCUCAAGAAGCACUGGGCCUCUCCACCAGCCUGAUGCAUCUUGAGAGAAAUGGGGAAAAGUGCUCAAAGACAGCUGAGCUAAGGUGCAGCCUAUUCAAAAAGACAUGAAGCUGUUAUUGAUGUCAAAGGUGAUUCAUAACACUUUUGAAAACUGGAUUUAAAAAAAAGAAGUCUUCACACCCCAAACCAAGGAUGAACUUUUUGGCCAUGAAUCUUAAAGGAAAAAGAGGGGUCGGUCCUCCUUGGCGUUUGCUGUCUGGAAUUCGUCGCUGAGCCGGAACCUCCACUCCUCUUCCAGCUCUAGCCGGCCGACCGUUUGCCUCAAGGAGCUACGAUCUGCACCGAUCACACAAAGAGUCGCCCCUGCGGGGAGGCACGGACGGACGAGCCAUGACUCCCAAGAUGAUUUCCUUUACUAGGUACAUUUGAUUGUCAUCAUGUUGGUGUACCUUUGAGGAAGGUGAACUUCUUGAGGAAGCUGGGGGUCACGAAUGCGUCGGCGAAACAGAGGAGAAGGCCGCUGAACAGCAGGCCUGUGGUGCAGAUGUUGACCGAGUGUGGUCUUGAACUUACGAAACACACCGUCACCUGUGGCAAUGGAUAGCAAAGUGAAACCCAGCGUGUACAUUCCAACCAAUUCCAACCUAAAAAGUGUCUUACCUCAGGGCCCAGGUUAAUGUAAUAGUCCACAGACAGGACCGGGUGUUCGUAGUUCUUGGUGCUGAGAGGAAAGAGCUUGUGGCUGGUGUGUUGGAGAUAUUUUUCCAGGAGGAGCUGAGCCGGGGUGGCCAGGAAAAGGUGCUUGCUGUCGGGGGCACAGACGUACUGAGAGGGCCCCACUGAAGUGGGAACGUCCAUCAUCUGGGCACAUUUUCCCUCUCGUCAGUUACCCCGAAAAGAUAUUGAACGGUCGGACGUGGAUGUGCGCCCUUACCUUCGUCUUGAUGAUGAAGGUCCUGUAACCUCCGAUGGCGAUCUGCUUUUUCAUAACGCUGAAGUUGUUAAAGCGGCAGACGAGCAGUCCGGCGCUGUGCAGCCGCAGGGUGAAGUCGACGUCGUGACAAGUGAAACGAUUCUGGUCGUAUUGGACGUUCUGACUCCGGUCCACGUUGAGAAGGAGGAAGUCAUGGAGGUGACCUCUGGAGAAAGGCUCUUUCUGAUUGGGGCCUGGAUACAAGAGAACACACUCGCCUUUUAGUCCCGGGAGACUAUUUUGGCAUUUCCAAAGAAGGAAAAUAGGUUUUGAACCAACCGGCGAGUACACGACUGCUCCACUUUCUAAUCCCGCACAGGCCGUAGUGGGCCAGGUCAGGACAACCUUCCAUGUGCUGCAACACCUGCUUCAGUGACGCGGAAUGUUCCACCGGACUACUGACGGCAGCAGCAGAGGGGGGGAAAAAUUGUUAAGAAUCCUGGUGGUACUUGGGAGAAAAAGUUUGAGAAACACCAUUGUAGGUCAAGUACAAAGUGUGUGAGCAUGUACUUGCGUGCGUCGAAGUCGACCACAUUCCACAUUACGCACGAGUCGUCUGCCAGGAUAAUGAAGGGCCAGACGUCACUGAUGGAGCCGCUGCCCUCCUGCCGACGACUGCGCUCCAGCUCCAGGUUGUGAUAUCCACCUCCAUCAGCCUGAUCAGCAUCCGAGACAAAAUACCCAGGAAGUGCAGGUACGCGCCGGUCUUACCCACCUGUCCAAUGACAUCAUGCCAAAAGAUUGUCAAUACGGAGCAUGAAUUUUGACAUUGAGUAAGAAAAGGAUUGGAAGUACCUGCGGGGGUCCGCUGAGAAGUAGCCUGCGAGGGUGAAAGUUGUCGCUGCGUCCUUCGGUGCGAUUGCUGCUGUCCAUGUGGUAAGGGCGGGGGAUCGUCCACUGGCGGUAGUAAAGCGACUGUUCUGUGCACGUCAUCAUCUUACUCAGCAAAGGUCUGCACACAAAAGCAUUUGUGAGUGUGGAAGAAAAGGAAGGUGUUGUUGUUGUUGGGAGUCUCACCUGAAGCUGCUAGCCCACGCUACCGACAUAUGCGGCAGGAAGGAGGUGCAUCGCGGGAGCCCGCUGCCAUCGUUGGCCGUGAUGAUGUCGUAAAGCGAGCGGGGGAGGAGCACGGAGGGCGGCCGACUUACUCCCCGUGCCCAGGAGCAGCUCAGAUGAGGCGAAGAGGCUUGGGGCGACGAAGAGCUAGAAGAAGUGGAUUUGGAAGGGUGACGACGAGGCCGGGCAGGGGCCAGCUGUUGGGGCGGUGCGUGGGGGAUUUGGUGCUGCGGGAGCGUUUGGAAGUAAAGUUGGGGGUUCGCUGAAGCUAGUAACUGGCUCUGCCUCAGAAUCUGCGGCUGGAAAAUGGGUUGGGCCAGGGAAUAGGUUUGGGCCAUCAACUGACUUGGGUGAAGAAUUGAAGGUUGAUGGAAUACAAAUGGCUGAGAAGACGACUGGGGAGGAAGUUGAGUGUGAGCUGGCGAGGGAGACGGCGUGGUUUCCACUGUGCUCUUUGGAGCUUUCGGGGACGUUGAUGUGCUGCUCUGGGUUGGAGACGGGUCUGCUGCUGCUGCUCCUGCUGCAAUAUCCGGGCUGGACUGGAGCGGCUGGUUGGAGGACACAGGAGAGCUUUCUAGAAAGAAAGCAAAGAGGAACACAUGAAUGCAAAUGAAGUCAUUGAAUAAAUCAUCACUGACUACCAUUUUCCUGGCCCUCCUCUUCCUCAUUGUCGGUGCUACUGAGUUUUUCCGCAUCGCUCUCCAGCAGGUCACUUCCCGGCCCCGGGUUAUGCGGGGAUCGGGACUCCGCCUUCAGCAGGUAUGCCGCAAGUCCCAACUCUUGCUCCAGUGUGGUACGUUGAAGAUAGGAGCAGCUUAUCACUCGAAGGUCACAGUACUUUAGUGACCUGAGGGACGAGGAUGAAAUCAAUAUUAAAAUUGCUAAAUGCUAAACUGCUUUGGUCUUAGCGUGCCAACCUGGGAAGUGAUUCUCCUUGAGGUUCAGCUCCCGUCAGGAUCAGAAUGCAAGGAAGCGCUUCAAGCUCCAAGUAGACCCAGCUGUCUCCUCACCCGGGAUAGCCGCCGAUGCGCCCACGCCGCCAGAGCCAGCGAGGGGAUGCGCAGCAGGAUCAUGUGACCAUGGUGGGCGGGGCAUUGCUGGGCGGCACUGAGCAGCGCCUGCACGAUGCCCAGGGUCUCCACAGACGUGUGCUUGUGGAGAUUGUGUGAGCCGCCGAUUCUUCCAGAAACGGCCAUCAGCGCCGUGCAGUAGUGGUGGAUCAGAACUGUCGUACGGAUCACGGCGCUGUGCAGCUUUGGAAACCUAAAUGAAACGUUUUUUUACAUAUUAAGCAGUUUUACCUAUAGCUUUUUUUUUUUUGCUGACAGCGUGUACCUUUCCUCCAGGGCAGAUGCCAUGCUCUCAAAAGAAGAAUCGCAUCGCAUCAGCGGCAGGCUGCUUCCCGAGCGUGUCGACUCUAAAAGCUCUGACACACCAAAGUAGCGAGUUCUCUCGUGAUACAAAUCCACAUCCUACAUAUGCACAACAAAUGGUUACAAUGUGCUUCUGUUGUACGGAUGCUUUUAUUAGCACUUGUAGAAUGAAACCUCACAUUACUGAAUGAAGGCGGCCAGUGGAUCUCAUUAUAGGGGCUGAUGCGUGUGAAUUGUGUCUGCAGAGCAAACGGGAAGGAAGUAACGUGGAGAAUCAGAAUGUUUGGAGCAUCUCUGACCCGUCUGGAAUUCAGGAGUUGGUCCACCAGACCCAAACCCGAGUCCGCGCUACAGUAAGAAGCACUGCGAAACAAUAGUGGGCGUGGUCAUGGACCAGGAUGUAAAGUGUGUAGGAGUUGCUGUGUGCUUCCUGUAUCAGGCCGUCAACUCGCACUUGAGCGCUUUGAUCCAUUUUCACCACAUAGCGCUCAGCCUCCCGCUGAGACACACAAUC